UCUUAUUUAACAGUUAAUACAUUUUGAUUAUUUUAAAGCGUUAAGCAGCAAUUUUCCAAAAUGCGUCUUCUGUUGUUAGCAGCCUUCUUGGUUACCGUCUUUGUUGUAUCAGAUGCCCAUAACGGAAUCCGAAAUCGAAUACCAUGCCGUAAAGUGAAACAUUUAUGUGAAAAAUGUUGUACUCCUCCUUUUAAUCCAUGUGACUCGGGUCCUUGUCAGAAUUCUGGAACAUGUAGCCAAACAGAUACUGAGUUUGAGUGCGCCUGCUCAGACGGGUUCACGGGGACAACAUGUGAAACUCCUGUUAGUGUUAAUCCAUGUGACUCGGGUCCUUGUCGGAAUUCGGGAACAUGUAGGCAAACAGAUAAUGGGUUUACCUGCGACUGCUCAGAAGGGUUCACGGGGACAACAUGUGAAACUCCUGUUAGUGUUAAUCCAUGUGACUCGGGUCCUUGUCGGAAUUCGGGAACAUGUAGGCAAACAGAUAAUGGGUUUACCUGCGACUGCUCAGAAGGGUUCACGGGGACAACAUGUGAAACUGAAUUACCAUGUAGUCUAAUUCCUGCCAUUUUGGCUUCAUGUGUAAAUCAAGGCACGUGUAUAGCUUUUUCACUUGGCGUCCGUGUUAGCGAUGUUGGAUUGUGUGAAGAUACAAAGGAAUGUUGCUCUGGAGUGGCAUAGGAAGGAAAAUUAACGUUAAAAACAAAAGAAAACAAAAGAAAACAAAAAAGUAGAAAUUAAAACAUUUUAUUUCUUG